rnacentral:rRNA from 1 species
AGAGUUUGAUCAUGGCUCAGAUUGAACGCUGGCGGCAGGCCUAACACAUGCAAGUCGAACGGUAACAGGAAGCAGCUUGCUGCUUUGCUGACGAGUGGCGGACGGGUGAGUAAUGUCUGGGAAACUGCCUGAUGGAGGGGGAUAACUACUGGAAACGGUAGCUAAUACCGCAUAACGUCGCAAGACCAAAGAGGGGGACCUUCGGGCCUCUUGCCAUCGGAUGUGCCCAGAUGGGAUUAGCUUGUUGGUGGGGUAACGGCUCACCAAGGCGACGAUCCCUAGCUGGUCUGAGAGGAUGACCAGCCACACUGGAACUGAGACACGGUCCAGACUCCUACGGGAGGCAGCAGUGGGGAAUAUUGCACAAUGGGCGCAAGCCUGAUGCAGCCAUGCCGCGUGUAUGAAGAAGGCCUUCGGGUUGUAAAGUACUUUCAGCGGGGAGGAAGGGAGUAAAGUUAAUACCUUUACUCAUUGACGUUACCCGCAGAAGAAGCACCGGCUAACUCCGUGCCAGCAGCCGCGGUAAUACGGAGGGUGCAAGCGUUAAUCGGAAUUACUGGGCGUAAAGCGCACGCAGGCGGUUUGUUAAGUCAGAUGUGAAAUCCCCGGGCUCAACCUGGGAACUGCAUCUGAUACUGGCAAGCUUGAGUCUCGUAGAGGGGGGUAGAAUUCCAGGUGUAGCGGUGAAAUGCGUAGAGAUCUGGAGGAAUACCGGUGGCGAAGGCGGCCCCCUGGACGAAGACUGACGCUCAGGUGCGAAAGCGUGGGGAGCAAACAGGAUUAGAUACCCUGGUAGUCCACGCCGUAAACGAUGUCGACUUGGAGGUUGUGCCCUUGAGGCGUGGCUUCCGGAGCUAACGCGUUAAGUCGACCGCCUGGGGAGUACGGCCGCAAGGUUAAAACUCAAAUGAAUUGACGGGGGCCCGCACAAGCGGUGGAGCAUGUGGUUUAAUUCGAUGCAACGCGAAGAACCUUACCUGGUCUUGACAUCCACAGAACUUUCCAGAGAUGGAUUGGUGCCUUCGGGAACUGUGAGACAGGUGCUGCAUGGCUGUCGUCAGCUCGUGUUGUGAAAUGUUGGGUUAAGUCCCGCAACGAGCGCAACCCUUAUCCUUUGUUGCCAGCGGUCCGGCCGGGAACUCAAAGGAGACUGCCAGUGAUAAACUGGAGGAAGGUGGGGAUGACGUCAAGUCAUCAUGGCCCUUACGACCAGGGCUACACACGUGCUACAAUGGCGCAUACAAAGAGAAGCGACCUCGCGAGAGCAAGCGGACCUCAUAAAGUGCGUCGUAGUCCGGAUUGGAGUCUGCAACUCGACUCCAUGAAGUCGGAAUCGCUAGUAAUCGUGGAUCAGAAUGCCACGGUGAAUACGUUCCCGGGCCUUGUACACACCGCCCGUCACACCAUGGGAGUGGGUUGCAAAAGAAGUAGGUAGCUUAACCUUCGGGAGGGCGCUUACCACUUUGUGAUUCAUGACUGGGGUGAAGUCGUAACAAGGUAACCGUAGGGGAACCUGCGGUUGGAUCACCU